UACGUAGGGAGCAAGCGUUGUCCGGAAUCAUUGGGCGUAAAGCGCGCGUAGGUGGCCAUUUAAGUCCGCUGUGAAAGUCAAAGGCUCAACCUUUGAAAGCCGGUGGAUACUGGGUGGCUAGAGUACGGAAGAGGCGAGUGGAAUUCCUGGUGUAGCGGUGGAAUGCGCAGAUAUCAGGAGGAACACCAAUAGCGAAGGCAGCUCGCUGGGACGUUACUGACGCUGAGGAGCGAAAGCGUGGGGAGCGAACAGG
rnacentral:rRNA from 1 species